GGAGUCAGUCAGAGCAUUUCCAUAGAGAGCCACUUUGCAUCAGCAGCACCAUGCUCCAGUGCUCUGGGAGACUUUAUAGUCCUGAGAGUUGAACACUGGAUGACUGACAGCUGUCCUUCAUGACAACAGAAGCCACAGAAAUCCUCCUCAUCAGAAACAUGACUUUGAUCUGCGUCCUCAUCUGGACUCUCCUCUGCUGCUGCUUCACAGAGUCCAGAGGACAGUACACAGUGACUCAGUCUGGAGCAGUGAGCUCUGCUCCGGGAGGCUCCGUCUCCAUCAGCUGUAGGACCAGUCAGAAGGUUUAUGGUGGGGACCGUUUAGCUUGGUACCAACAGAGAGAUGGAGAAACCCCUAAACUGCUUAUUUACACUGCUAGCUAUCGUCAAUCAGGGACUCCAGGUCGUUUUACAGGCAGUGGAUCAAACUCUGACUUCACUCUGACCAUCAGUGGAGUUCAGGCUGAAGAUGCAGCAGUUUACUACUGUCAGAGCAUUCACUCUAUCAACAGUCAGUGGGUGUUCACACAGUGA